UACGGGGGGAGCAAGCGUUGUUCGGAUUUACUGGGCGUAAAGGGCGCGUAGGCGGCCAGCGCAAGUCGGUGGUGAAAUCUCCGGGCUUAACUCGGAAAGGUCAACUGAUACUGCGCGGCUAGAGUGCAGAAGGGGCAACUGGAAUUCUCGGUGUAGCGGUGAAAUGCGUAGAUAUCGAGAGGAACACCUGCGGCGAAGGCGGGUUGCUGGGCUGACACUGACGCUGAGUGCGCGAAAGCCAGGGGAGCGAACGGG
rnacentral:rRNA from 1 species